rnacentral:misc_RNA from 1 species
UUUCCGUAGGUGAACCUGCGGAAGGAUCAUUAUUGUAUAACCGAGGCGCCAGGGCUGUCGCUGACCCGAAAGGUCGUGCACGCCCGAGUGCCCUCACACACAUCCAUCUCACCCCUAUGUGCACCACCGCGUGGGUCCCCCUUUGGCUUGUUCGGAGGGGGGCUUACGUUUUCACACAAACUUUGUAUGCAGUGUAGAAUGUAUUUUUUGUUUUUGCGAUCACGCAAUCAAUACAACUUUCAACAACGGAUCUCUUGGCUCUC